rnacentral:rRNA from 1 species
GACGAACGCUGGCGGCGUGCUUAACACAUGCAAGUCGAACGGAAAUGCCCUGCUUUUUUGUGGUGCUCGAGUGGCGAACGUGUGAGUAACACGUGAGUCACCUUCCCUUUACUUUGGUAUAACUUCAGGAAACUGGGGCUAAUACCGGAUAGGAGCUCCUGCUGCAUGGUGGUGGUUGGAAUGUUUCGGCGGUUGGGGAUGGACUCGCGGCUUAUCAGCUUGUUGGUGGGGUAGUGGCUUACCAAGGGUUUGACGGGUAGUCGGCAUGUGAGGGUGACCGGCCACAUUGGAACUGAGAUACGGCCCAGACUCCUACGUGAGGCAACAGUGGGAAAUAUUGCACAAUGAGCAGAAGCCUAAUGCAGCAACGCCACGAUCGGUAUAACCGCCUUCGAUUUAUAAACCGCUUUCACCUGUUACGAAGCGUUAGUGACGGUAAUGGGUAAAGAAGCACCGGCUAACUACGUG